rnacentral:snoRNA from 1 species
AUCCUCUAUGUUCCUUAGCCCUCCGAGCCACACAUUGUUCUGAGUGGCUGGUAAAAAGGGAGGGAAAGUAAAAUGAAAGUGGCCUUGGGGUCUUUAGUGAGGAACAAGUUCAUUUCAAACAUAU